rnacentral:snRNA from 1 species
AUCUUUGCGCUUGGGGCAAUGACCCAGCUAGUGAGGUACUAACCGAGGCGCGUCUAUUGCUGAUUGAAAACUAUAUAUAACAGUGUAUAACAUGUCGUUAUACACUAUUAUACAGAAUGGAUACACUUGUUAUAUAAAAUAAAUGGGAAAAUCUCAUUUU